rnacentral:lncRNA from 1 species
UGGAGAAGCACACACCUCCUCGUCGGCGUCGGCGCCCCAGAGCAGCGGGAGCAGCAGACAACUCCCCCGCUAAAUCCUCCUCUUUGCCCCCACCGACAGCAACAACAACAGAAGGAGAAGAGAAACAAGAGGAGGCAACGAACCGGAGGAUCCAUCUACGCUCACCGGCAAGGAGGCGGCAGGAGCAGCGGGCAAGGACAGCGGCACCAGUGGCUCACGAGAAGUAGGCGAUGGAGACCUUGGCGAGGAGCACGAGGGAGGAGGGGAGCGGCCCCGGCGCCGGCAGCGACGGGGAGCUGGGCGGAGGACGGCGUCGAAGAGGCGCGGCGAGAUCACCCCCGACGCCCCCUUGACCUCACCGACAACCCCGCAAAAAUAGAUCUAUUGUUAUUUGUUGUCGAUGUCACCAUGGAGUGGUAG